rnacentral:misc_RNA from 1 species
AAUUUCUCAACCUCAUCACCCUUUUUGUUGCGGCUUGGAAAUGGAGGUUUAUGCAGGCUUGAUCAAGUCUGCUCCUCUGAAAUGAAUUAGUGGUCGUUUGAUGGCUCUUUACUUAGGUGUGAUAAAACUAUCUAUGCCUAAUGCUGAACCAAACAUCUGCUGCAAAGAAACCUUUUGAGGA